ACUCAAAUGAAUAGACGGGGACCCGCACAAGCGGUGGAGCAUGUGGUUUAAUUCGACGGUAAGCGAGGAACCUUACCAAGGCUUGACAUACAGCUGCAAAUCUCUGGAAACAGAGACUUCUUCGAGAGUGCUGCACAGGUGCUGCACGGUUGUCGUCAGCUCGUGCCGUGAGGUGUUCACUUAAGUGUGAAAACGAGCGCAACCCCUAUUGUGAGUUACAAGUGUCUCACGAAACUGCCAGCGUUUAAGCUGGAGGAAGGCGGGGAUGACGUCAAAUCAGCGUGGCUCUUACGCCUUGGGCGACACACGUGCUACAAUGGGUAGGAACAGAGGGACGCCAAGGAGCAAUCCGGAGCAAAUCCCACCAAAACUACCCCCAGUUCGGAUCGAGGGCUGCAACUCGCCCUCGUGAAGCCGGAAUCGCUAGUAACCGUGGAUCAGCCUCGCCACGGUGAAUACGUUCUCGGGUUUUGUACACACCGCCCGU
rnacentral:rRNA from 1 species